rnacentral:rRNA from 1 species
GGAGGGGCUAGCGUUGUUCGGAAUUACUGGGCGUAAAGAGCGCGUAGGCGGUUUACAAAGUUGGAAGUGAAAGCCCGAGGCUCAACCUCGGAAUUGCUUACAAAACUCAUAAGCUAGAGAGCGACAGGGGAUGGUGGAAUUCCUAGUGUAGAGGUGGAAUUCUUAGAUAUUAGGAGGAACACCGGUGGCGAAGGCGGCCAUCUGGGUCGAAUCUGACGCUGAGGCGCGAAAGCGUGGGAGCAAACAGGAUUAGAUACCCCUGGUAGUCCACGCUGUAAACGAUGAGUGCUAGAUAUCAGGAUAUAAAUCUUGGUGUCGAAGCUAACGCAUUAAGCACUCCGCCUGGGGAGUACGGCCGCAAGGCUA